UAGAAGAAAAUUUNGGUGCAAGCAUCGUGU
rnacentral:piRNA from 1 species